CAGCAGCCGCGGUAAUGCGUAGGUGGCGAGCGUUGUCCGGAAUUAUUGGGCGUAAAGGGAGCGCAGGCGGACAUAUAAGUCCAUCUUAAAAGUGCGGGGCUCAACCCCGUGAGGGGAUGGAAACUGUAUGCCUUGAGUGCAGGAGAGGAAAGCGGAAUUCCCAGUGUAGCGGUGAAAUGCGUAGAUAUUGGGAGGAACACCAGUGGCGAAGGCGGCUUUCUGGACUGUAACUGACGCUGAGGCUCGAAAGCCGGGGGAGCGAACGGGAUUAGAUACCCGCGUAGUCCCUGUCUCUUAUACA
rnacentral:rRNA from 1 species